UACCCGGCAGCUCAAGUGGUGGUCAUUAUUAUUGGGCCUAAAGCGUCCGUAGCUGGCUUGUUAGAUGCCUGGGUAAAUCGAUGCGCUUAACGCAUCGAAUUCCGGGUAGACCGGCAAGCUCGAGACCGGGAGAGGCGUGAGCUACUCAAGGGGUAGGGGUAAAAUCCUGUAAUCCUUUGGGGAGGACCAGUGGCGAAGGCGUCACGCUAGAACGGCUCUGACAGUGAGGGACGAAGCCCUGGGGCGCAAACCGG
rnacentral:rRNA from 1 species